AACCGCCGGAUGCGGAACCGCAUGUCCGGUGGUGUGAGAGGUCGGCGGCGAAAGCCGCCUCCUACUCGAU
rfam:Clostridiales bacterium 41_12_two_minus Ley3_66761_scaffold_24744, whole genome shotgun sequence.